rnacentral:rRNA from 1 species
GCGGAGGAAAAGAAAAUAACAAUGAUUUCCCUAGUAACGGCGAGUGAAGAGGAAAAAGCUCAAAGUUGGAAUCCGGUUGCCUUAGGUAAUUGGAGUUGUAAACUGGAGAGGCGUUUUCCAGGCAAACCAAGCAAAUAAGUCCUUUGGAACAGGGCAUCAUAGAGGGUGAGAAUCCCGUCUUUGGCUUGAGUAUUGUCUUUUGUGAUACGCUUUCAAAGAGUCAGGUUGUUUGGGAAUGCAGCCUAAAUUGGGUGGUAAAUCUCACCUAAAGCUAAAUAUUGGCGAGAGACCGAUAGCGAACAAGUACCGUGAGGGAAAGAUGAAAAGAACUUUGAAAAGAGAGUUAAACAGUAUGUGAAAUUGUUGAAAGGGAACCGUUUGGAGCCAGACUGGCUGCUCUAUAAUCAAUCUCUGCUUCGGUAGGGAUGCACUUGUAGGGCUUUGGCCUGCCAGCAGCAAUUUUUUCUGAAGGAAAAAACUAGAAGGAAUGUGGCCCCUCGGGGUGUUAUAGCCUUUUAGAAAAUACUUUGGAAGGGAUUGAGGACUGCAGCAGAUGCUUUUGGCGAAAUAUAUAGGUGCUUGUAUUGAGGAAGUGUAGAAUUUCUGCUUCGGGUGGUGCUACGCUCUAAUGUGCAACUCGCUUAGACUAUUUUCUAUCUGCUUAGGUUGUUGGCUUAAUGACUCUAAAUGAC